rnacentral:rRNA from 1 species
CUAAGUACCUGAAGGAAGAGAAAGAAAUUCGAUUCCGUAAGUAGCGGCGAGCGAACGCGGAUUAGCCCAAACCAAUAAAGUUUUCUUUGUUGGGGUUGCGGACAUAUCAUAACGAAGAGGUAUCGUAAUUGAAGAGGGUUGGAAAGACCCACCACAGAAGGUAAUAGUCCUGGAUGUUAAACGAGAAGACUUUAGAUAUGAUCCAGAGUACCACGGGA